rnacentral:snRNA from 1 species
GUGCCUGCUUCGGCAGCACAUAUACUAAAAUUGGAACGAUACAGAGAUUAGCAAGGCCCCUGCGCAAGGAUGACACGCAAAUUCAUGAAGCGUUCCAUAUUUUU